GUUUGGGGCAAAACAAAUUGCUUGGCGCCCGCUUUGAUGGAGUCUACUUGGGAGCAGUGUUUCUAGGUUUUGGUGGCUGAAAAUAUAUGGUUACACUCAUUCUCUGAUAUUGAUAUGAUUAACUGCUUGUGAGUUCAUGAUGGAGAGCUCAUGGAGGAGACAAUUUUGAAAAGCCUGGGAACUUCCAUAUGCUGUGGAUGCAGCCAUAAAAAGCAAAAAAAAAAGAAGAAGAAAGAAAGAGAUACUGAAAAAGUCUCUGGAGCAGAUCACUCAAGAUCUCUAACAAGAUCGAAAUCUGGGGUUCAGCCUGUGCUCCAGUCUCAUUUAAAGGCUUGACUAAGCCAUCAACAGAUGAAUGGGUGAAGAAGAUGUGGUAUAAGUAUGCAAUGGAAUACUCUUCAGCCAUAAAAAAGAAUGAAACAAUGCCAUUUGCAGCAACAUGGAUGGACCUAGAGAUUAUCAUACUAAGUGAAGUGCCAAGGACAACGUGAAGGACGAGUAUGAAACUUUGUUAAGCCCUGUACGGAUCUGCCACCUUGAGAAGAGCAAUGACUUCCUAUUGAGCAACAUGGUCAGCCUGAUGGGAUUCACCAGUCCCAGUAGCUGACCUUCCUCAGAUUCCCUGGGGGGACAAACCCAAACCCAAUUGGUAAACAGGAAGCGAGGAAGCCCAUUGAUUUAACUUAUAGAUUAGUCUCUGGAGGCGGGAGCUUGCAGGGGUGUAAACGGAGAGGAGAACUCAGGAAAGAAGUCCAGGCAGGCUUGGAUUCCCAUUCAGGUUCUACUCUACCAUCCAACCACGCAUUCCAGUGCUGGCCUCCAUCCACAGAACUUAUAUUUGUCAAAAUAAUUCAUGGCCCAGGAUGAUCUUAUCUUCCUCUGGUGAAUUUUGUUUGUUGAAUGCCUGGAAUUUCUUUACAUAAAAAGCAGAGUUUGAGAAUUUUUGUUUUGUUUUUUUUUUUCUGGGUUAAUCAGGUGUCUAGAGACAGGGUUGCUGUCCAUGGAAGUGUCAGUCUACUCCUACACUACAUUGUCCUUUCUAUUGUCCUAACAGGUGUUGUCAAAAAUGCAGUUCAGUCUCCCAGCUGCCUAAUUCAGAUCCACCAAAAUUGCCAGACCAAAAGCAGCCUCCACUGUAGGCACACCCUCUGAAUCCCUGGCCUUUCUUCCAGAAUCUGGCCAGAUAUUUCAUUAAUUCUUUGAUGCCUUUAUUUUAAAUUUUGUCCAGCAUUCUUAGUCGUCUUCAGUGAGAAGGUUCAUCAGUAUUACUUAAGUUGUCAUAAUCAGAUGCAGAAAUCUCUCCUUAUAUUUCUCUAGCUCUUUAUUGGGAAUUUUUUUUUUGCCCUACCAAAAGUUAUUCUCAAAGGUGUCCCAAGGACAGUCUCCAAGUGGAAGUGGGAUGGACUCUGAGUGAGAAUACCAUUUUGAUCAGCAAACUUCAGUUCUGCUGCCCUGCUUUUUUAAAGUGUAAAGAUGUCAUUGACUUUUUGCAAUAUUAUAAUUCUAUCUUUCAUUGACUAUGAUUUAAUCUUUGCCAAAAGCCUCUAGGAAAGCCUGCUAUUUGUGGUAAAGAGCUAAGCUAUAUGUUACUUCUCUAGUUCCUGAAUUCCUUUUUUCCCCGAUGCAGAAUGCCAAGUUGUGAGCUUACAAUGAACAGUAUAAUCCCUUCAGUUCUUAAUUAAGAUCAUAGAACCAGAAAGCAUUAUAUCUGACAUAAUUAUUUCAGAUUCCUCUGAAAUGCCUUCACUGAAUUAAUAUUUAAUAUUAUGUUCUUAGCUUUAAAAAUACGAAAUCCAAAUUUAAAGAACACAUAUAAUUUUUAUAAAUCCACGUUUGAUUGCCCUGUAUUGCCCAGUGUCCUCUAUAUCAAAUUCUAUGUAAUAAACCUUUAUAGAAUUCAGUGCCAAGUUAAGACUUGACUCUUCAUAUGAAUAUGUGUCCUUUUCUGUGUUUUUAUUUUGGCAGCCAAAACACAGACCUAUAUUUCUCAAUUGAUUGAGUUCUUAAUUUAUCCCAGCUGCUUGAUACCUCUUUUAUUGGCUUCCUUAUUGAUUUCUAGUAAUUUAAAAUUAUAUUUACCUUGCUUUGUGUGUGGCGUUAAAUCCCACUUGUCUAAAGCUGCAGAGAAAGAAGGAAGCUUGUUAGCUAAGGCAAAAGCAAGCUAGGAGCUAGGAGUGUCUCCUACUACCAGGAGACCCGUGCUCAUUUCAGGUUUAAAAUUCACCAUUUUGCCUCUUCAAGAAGAAACCUGAAAGCUCAAGAUAGGCAAAGCAAGUCACAAGGCCAACUCAGGGUCAAAGAGUGACAGACACUCCACCUCUUGAUGGAAGAAGCUGCAAAGAAUUUGUAGCCAUUUAAAAUGGUCAUGGGAGUUCCUGUUGUGGCUCAGCAGAAACGAAUCCAUGAGGAUGCCAGUUCAAUUCCUGGCCUCGCCCAGGGGGUUAAGGAUCCGGCAUUGCCAUGAGCUGUGGUGUAGGUCACAGAUGCGGCAUAGAUCCCCGCAGUGCUGUGGCUGUGGCGUGGGCUGGCAACUACAGCUCAGAUUCGACCCCUAGCCUGGGAACGUCCAUAUGCCAAGAGUGCAGCCCUAAAAAAAAAAA
ensembl:lncRNA